CAAACGGCUCUUUUCAGAGCCACCAAAACAAACGAUUGUUUGCCUU
rfam:Helobdella robusta unplaced genomic scaffold HELROscaffold_10, whole genome shotgun sequence.